rnacentral:rRNA from 1 species
AACGAACGCUGGCGGCAGGCCUAACACAUGCAAGUCGAGCGGACAUCUUCGGAUGUUAGCGGCGGACGGGUGAGUAACGCGUGGGAACGUGCCCUUUGCUUCGGAAUAGCCUCGGGAAACUGGGAGUAAUACCGGAUGUACCCUUUGGGGGAAAGAUUUAUCGGCAAAGGAUCGGCCCGCGUUGGAUUAGGUAGUUGGUGGGGUAAUGGCCUACCAAGCCGACGAUCCAUAGCUGGUUUGAGAGGAUGAUCAGCCACACUGGCACUGAGACACGGCCCAGACUCCUACGGGAGGCAGCAGUGGGGAAUCUUAGACCAUGGGGGAAACCCUGAUCUAGCCAUGCCGCGUGAGCGAUGAAGGCCUUAGGGUUGUAAAGCUCUUUCACCGGGGAAGAUAAUGACGGUACCCGGAGAAGAAGCCCCGGCUAACUCCGUG